CAGCGGAUCCAGAUACCGCGCUAACAGUUCUACCGCAACGAUGCCACUAGGGAUCCCCGGCUCCCGGCUGGUGGCAGUUCCCGGAAACGAAAAGUCUUCCGGUUCGGGGGAGUAUGGUUGCAAAGUGAAACUUAAAGGAAUUGACGGAAGGGCACCACCAGGAGUGGAGCCUGCGGCUUAAUUUGGACUCAACACGGGAAAACUCACCCGGCCCGGACACCGUGAGGUUUGACAGAUUGAUAUUUUUUCAUGAUUCGGUGGUUGGGGUGCAUGGCCCGUUCUUAGUUUCGUGUCGAUUUUGUCUGGUUUAUUCCGAUAACGAGCGAGACUCCAGCCUACUAAAUAGUGCGGCAUUUGCUACUGUGCGUGUACUUCUUAGAGGGAUUGCUGCGCUAGCGGCAGAAACGGAGCAAUUAACAGGUCUGUGAAUGCCCUUAGAUGUCCGGGGCUGCACGCGUAACUGAAGGCAGCGUGCUUCCGUCUCAAAGGAGCCGUAAACCCUUUGAAAUUUGCCGUGUGGGCGGAAAUUAAUUUUUUUCCUA
rnacentral:rRNA from 1 species